UUAACUUAUUUGCUUGCUAAUCAGAGAUUACAGUACAGCACAGGGUUUCGGGCCUCCGGCGGGCGGCCCCGCACCUCCGGGGAGGCCGGGCCUUGCGGCGCCCGUGAGGGCCCCGCGCCGCCGAAGCAACAUGGACGAGUUCGCAAUGGUUGGGAGCAGCCUUUCGGCCUCUUGUAAUGAUCCCUCCGCUGGUUCACCAACGGAGA
rnacentral:misc_RNA from 1 species